CCGGGCUACGAGCCCACAAACACGGCGGAACCGGUUGCGGGGCGGUUGCUUGAAUUCUCUCAGCUGCGCCCCCUGACCUAAUAGUCGCUGGCACAAGCUGCGCCCGGAGACGUGGGAGCGUUCUCUUGUUUUCCGAGUGCGCAGACUCAUCGGGUCACAGUUUAUGCUUUUAUGACGCGGGAACACAACAGAUUUGAGAAGCCUCGGAUUAAGGAAUAAUUUAUGAAGCUCCGUUGACUACCGUGGAGAGAUCAUAAUUUGGGGUUCAAGAUUCCAGUCUGUGUUUUUCCAGAGGUGCCCUGAGGAGCAGGGAAGCAUGGCUAUUGUGGAUGUAAAAGCCAUGUUCAAGAUAUGCUGUCUAGAUAUGAGACCAAGGAGUUACCUCUUAAGAAUGGCACUUUUGAAAAGGAAUCAUUAAAAUGGAAAAUAAUAGAGUCAGAAGUUCUUGCCUUGAGGAAUCUUUUUUGGGAAAUGAUUGGAAAUGCAAAGGACUCUUUGGGAGACAACAGGAAACUACAGAGGAAUAUUUCAGGCAUGUAACUGUGCCAUUUGAAAAAAUAUUAUCUGAAUUCAUCCAGCCUACAUAUUUUCUUCUAAAUCAAAUAAUUCAUACUGGAAAGAAACUCUAUGAACAAAAAAAAAUGAGAAAAUGUUACUCAACAGGGAAGAAUUCGUAUCAGUGACAAGCUUGAUGAAAUGUGUGGGAACACCUCUGUAUUUUGCACAAAUCAUAUGAAACAUCAGACAAAUUUUAAUGCAAAGAAAUGCAAUGUAUUUAAAGAAUGUGGCAGAGACUGCUUGUAACUUUCAACUAACUCAAUAUCAAAUAAGUCAUGCUAAUCAGAAACCCUAUGAAUGUCAGAUAUGUGGAAAGCCCUUUAGAAAGCAUGCCCACCUUACCCAACAUAAUUGAAUUCACACUGGUGGGAAGCCAUAUGAAUGCAAAGAAUGUGGGAAAGUGUUUAUCUGUUGUUCAACAUUGAUUCAACAUAACAGAACUCACACUAAUGAGAAACCCUAUGAAUGUCUGGAAUGUAGAAAGACGUUUAGGCGGAGUGCACAUCUUAUUCGACAUCAAAGAAUUCAUACUGGUGAGAAACCUUAUAAAUGUAAGCAAUAAUGUGGGAAGGCAUUUAACAAUCGCUCAACUCUUAUUCAGCAUCAGAGAAUUCACACUGGUGAGAAGUCCUUUGAAUGUAAGGAAUGUGGCAAAGCAUUCAAUAAUUGCUCAACACUUACUCAACACCAGAGAACUCAUACUAAUGAGAAAUUUUAUGAAUGUCAGGAAUGUAAAAAGGCUUUUAGGCAAAGUGCACAUCUUACUCAACAUCAAAGAAUUCAUACUGGUGAGAAACCAUAUGAGUGUAAGGAAUGUGGGAAGGCUUUCACUUGUGUUUCUGAUUUUAACAGACAUCAGAGAAUUCACACUGGUGAAAAACCCUAUGAAUGUAAAGAAUGUGGUAGAGCUUUUAACAAUUGUUCAGCUCUUAUUCAACACCAGAGAAUUCACACUGGUGAGAAGCCUUAUGAAUGUAAGCAGUGUGGGAAGGUUUUUGUCUCCUGUCCAACACUUGUUCAACAUCAGAGAACACAUACUAAUGAAAAACCUUAUGAAUGUCAGGAAUGCAAGAAGGCCUUCAAGCAUAAUGCACAUCUAAUGACAUCAGAGAAUUCACAGUGGGGAGAAACCCUAUGAAUGUAAUGAAUGUGGGAAUGCCUUCAUUUGUUUUUCUGAUUUUAAUAGACAUCAGAGAAUUCACAAAGGAGAGAAACCCUAUCAGUGUAAAGAAUGUGGGAAGGUUUUUAAUAAUUAUCCAACUCUUACUCAACAUCAAAGAAUUCAUACCAGUGUGAAACCCUAUGAAUGUAAGGAAUGUGGAAAGACCUUUACUUGGCUUUCAAACUUGAAUAAACAUCAGACAAUUCACACUGGUGACAAACCCUAUGAAUGUAAAGAUUGUAAAAAAGCUUUUCUUUGUUAUUCAACAUUUAUUCAACACUAUAGAACUCAUACUAAUGAGAAACCCUAUGAAUGUCAGGAAUGCAGCAAGGCCUUUAAGCAGAGAGCCCAUCUUAGUCAACAUCAAAGAAUUCAUACUGGUGAGAAACCCUAUGAGUUUAAGGAAUGUGGGAAGGCCUUUGCUUGUUUCCUACCUUAAUAGAAAUCAGAGAAUUCACACUGGUGAGAAACCAUAUCAGUGUAAAGAAUGUUGAAAAUCCUUUAUUGAUUGUUCAACUCUUAACACCAGAGAAUUCACACUGGUGAGAAACCCUUUGAAUGUCAGGAAUGUAGGAAGGCCUUUAGGCAGAGGGCGCAUCUUACUCAACAUCAAAGAAUUCCUACUGGUGAGAAACCCUAUGAAUGUAAUGAAUGUGAGAAGGCCGUUUCUUGUCUUUCACAGGUGAAAAAGCACCAGAGAAUACAUACAUGAAGGGAUAAAUCUUAUGUAUUUGAAUAGCGUCUUUUUAUUUAACAAUCCUUAUCUAACAUCACCAAAUUCACAUUGCAGAGAAACUUCAGAAAUAUAAGAAAUGUGGGAAACACUUUUACCUGUCCCUCAGCUAUACUUUUUCAUAACAGAAUUUGUACAGGUGAGAAGCCUAAUGAAAGCCCGAUAUGUGUAAAGAUCUACUCUCACAAUAUACUCAACAUUAUAUAAUGUAUAGUGUGAUUAAUAUAGGAAAUCCUUGAUUUUGAAAUUAUCAAUUAUGGAAUAGCAAACAAUUUGUAAGUGAAGAAAAUCCAGUGACUGUAAAUUUUUUUGCCUCAUAAUUCACAAUUUAUCAAGCAUCAGAAUUUAUAUGGAAAAAAUAGAAUAUCAAUUAUUAAUAAAAACAUUACCACUAAAAUUAUAUUUGACUUAUCACAGAGAAUAGCAUAUAGAGAAUAAUCAUGUUGACUUUGUGAAUGUAGAAAAGCUUUUAUCUAUUAUACGAAUCUUUUUCAGCAUCAUUAUACUUUCACCAGUUUCCACGUCUGUUUUAUUACCAAGUAAUUUAAACUGUAUACUUCAGAUUACAAAUUUCUUACAUUGUGAUAAGGUUAUUGUGAAGAUUAAAUGAGUUUAUCCAAA